rnacentral:tRNA from 2 species
GGGGCUCUCGGCUAGCUUGGUCUAGGCUUGUAGACUUGGGCUCUAUAGACUCCGGUUCAAAUCCGGGGAGCCCCACCA